AGGAUGAACGCUAGCGGCAGGCCUAAUACAUGCAAGUCGGACGGGAUUCGGGAGCUUGCUUCCGAUGAGAGUGGCGCACGGGUGCGUAACACGUAUGUAACCUACCUUUAUCAGGGGGAUAGCCUCUCGAAAGAGAGAUUAAGCCCGCAUAAUAUUAUGGCACAGCAUUGUGAGAUAAUCAAAUAUUUAUAGGAUAGAGAUGGGCAUGCGGAACAUUAGCUAGUUGGUAAGGUAAUGGCUUACCAAGGCUACGAUGUUUA
rnacentral:rRNA from 1 species